GGACUACCGGGGUUUCUAAUCCUGUUUGCUCCCCACGCUUUCGCGCCUCAGCGUCAGUUGACGUCCAGUAAGCCGCCUUCGCCACUGGUGUUCCUCCGUAUAUCUACGCAUUCCACCGCUACACACGGAAUUCCGCUUACCUCUCCGUCACUCAAGAAUAAUAGUUUCCAAUGCAGCCCCCCAGUUGAGCCGGGGUAUUUCACAUCAGACUUACUAUCCCGCCUACGCGCCCUUUACACCCAGUAAUUCCGGACAACGCUCGCCACCUACGUAUUACCGCGGCUGCUGGCAC
rnacentral:rRNA from 1 species